rnacentral:Y_RNA from 1 species
GGCUGGUCUGAAGGUAGUGUGUUAUCUCAAUUGAUUAUUCACAGUCCGUUAUAGAUUGAACUCCUUGUUCUACAUUUUCUUCCCUUCUUACUGCUGCAUUUUAGUUUAUA